ACAACACUGCAUUCUUUUAAGUAUAAUAGAGAAGCCAAGAAAUAAUUGUCUUCAGAAUAGGACAGAGUCACAUGACAAUAUAAUGCUUUGGGAUUGCAGAAAAGGUAUUUACUAUAGUAUCUAAGUAAAGUUCCCUACAAAAGAGCAUUUUCUUGAUUUCUUAAGGAUAGAAAGACUAGUGUGUUAGAAGGGAUAUGCAGCAUACUCAAAUUAUCCAGAAAUAAUAUAGAUUAUGCUAUAUUUCUCAUUGAAUUCAGUUGAUAAAUUGUAGUAAUUGUUGAAAAAUUGAAAGUGAAUAAUUAAGGGCAAGCAGAUAUUAGUUUAUAAAGAAGCUACAAUAGUCACAGAGGCUGUGCUUACAAAGUAGUAGGGAACCAAGAAUGCCGAGGGGUAGAUGUACGGUUCUUUAUAAUCCAAAAUUCAUGUGUUUCUAGUCAGUAUGGCUAUAGACAUCAACUCAGAGAUUAUGUCAGAGCUAAAAAGAAAGUUCUAUGAAGACACAUCUUUCUUUCCGUGCUGAAAAUUCUAGCAGUAUAUUUCGGACAGAGCGUAUAACAUGUUAUAAACAUGUGCAUUUUAUAAAAACAAAUCUCCUAGAUGAAUAACUGGUGUUGUAGCUGAUCACAGGUGGGGCAACAAUUCAGGAAUGAGAGGAUGAGCCAUGAAUAAACCACAGGAAGAUUACUGCAAUUCUACUGAAAGAAAAACAAUGAAAAUCUAAGCUAAGAUUAUCCACCCUAACUCAACAUGUCCCUUGGCUUUUCUCCCUUUAUAUCCACACAGAAGUUUUCUCUGAAGCUUUGUGUGAAUAUCCUUGUCUUUAUCAUGGGUAAAAGAAUAGAAUAGUAUAUGUAACAUUUAUGAGAGAGUGAUCCCACACAAAAAAAGUCUAACCACUAAUUCCAAUCAUGUGAAACAAGAAGUAUAUAUGAGAGGUCUCAUGCACUCACAAGUGAGAGACUUUAGAGGCAGAGUAGAUUGUAUGUGCACAUAAAUUUUAACAGAGUAGAGAUGAUGUUGUUUUACGCAUCAAUUGCAAAGCAGUGAGAAUUGUUAUAGUCCUUUUUCAACCAUCAUCAGUUACUUGUGGCUUCUUAUUUCAAUAAGUAAAACUGGAAUAUCAGGCGUGGGUCUCUAGCUUGGAUCUAGAAUGCCCAUCCAAAGCCUUUAUGUUUAGCACUUGAUGUUUAGUUUGGUGUCACUGAGAAGUCCUACUAGAAUGUCUUGAAGAUACCAAGCCUGUGCCCUUGAAAUGUACAGUGGUACUCCCGCCCUACUCCUCUUCCUCUCCUGCUCCCUGGUUAUGAGAUGAACAACUUAUCUCUACUGAAUACUAACAGAAUAUCUUUACACAAGGAGAAAAUCAACAGCACUAGCUGAUUGUAAAAUAGAUUAAUGGAAGUGAAUAAAUACAAGCUAUUUUCUCUUUAUAAAUCCGAACAUCUCACAGGUCUGUUAUGGGAGCCGAAAGCUGUCUUUCACACAUGAUGUGCAUGUGACACCAAAGAGAGAGAGCAAGGUAGCAGGACAGAUUCUAGGAGCAAUUACAAAACUGAGGAAACCAUUCCAACCCAACAUUCAUUUGUCUCUAGUCAGUAUGACUAAAGACCUCAACUCUAUAAAGAUGCAUCUUCCCAUUCUAAGAAUUCUAACUCAGUGUAUUUAGGACAGAGAAUGUAUAGAUACAUGUUAAUAAAAUCUCCUAAACGAAUAACUACAAGUACGUCAGUGGUCUAUGUCCAGAAAGUACCAGAGUCUUUCCACAUAUUCCUAGAAAGAUGUUAUUAUCGCAGAUCAAGUAAAACCUGCUCUUCUAAUAAUAAUUCUACUAGUCUCUGAUCAUCAUAGGUUAACUUACAAUCUUAUCACAUUGUCAAAGAUCAACUAAUUUUUUUACGAACUUCAAUAUUAUUUCACAACAAUAGCAUUACUCAUUCUAUAAAAUUGUACAGGUAAAUAUUAAAGCAAAACUCCAUGUCCCAUAGAAUAAAUCUUACUAUCAUAUAGUAUAUACUCAAGUGUUCUUGUGUCUCAUUAUAAAUAUACAUUCAAAUUUCCCAUAACUUUAUAACUUGAAAUAGUGUUUUAUUUUUGAGAUGUUAAAUUAUUUCAUUUAUGUACUGCUUUAUUAUGUGUCCAUUGUGUUAAAAGUUUACUGUAAGAUAAAUAACAGGCCAUCCAGAGAUUGCCCCACCUGGGAAUCCAUUCCAAAUAUAUUUACCAAAUGCAAACACUAUUGUGGAUGUCAACAAAUGCUUGCUGACAGGAGCCUGAUAUAGCUGUAUAGCUGUCUCCUGAGAGACUCUGCCAGAGCCUGACAAAUACAGAGGAGGAUGCUCACAGAACCAUUUAACUGAGUAUGGGGUCCCCAUUGGAGGAGUUAGAGAAAGGACUGAAGGAGCUGAAGGGGUUUGCUACCCCAUAGGAGAAACAAUAUCAACAAACCAGACCCUACAUAGUUCGAGGGGAGGGUUAAACCACCAACUAAAGAGUAUACAUGGAGGGACCCAUGCACCAGCCACAUAUUUAGCAGAGGAUGUCCUUGUCAGAUAUCAAUGGGAGGAGAGGCCCUUGGUCCUGUGAAGGCUAGAUGCCCCAGUGUAGGGAAAUGCGAAGUGGGAGUGAGUGGGUGGGUAGAGGAACACGCUUAUAGAAGCAGGGGGAGAGGAGAUGAGAUAGGGGGUUUUCAGAGGGGAAACCAGGAAAGGAGAUAACAUUUAAAUAUAAAUAAAGAAAAUAUCUAAUAUAAAAUAUAGAUUUUAAAAAAGACAUGUAACCAGCUGAAUCACAGAUGUCAACAUUUUUAACCUGUUUUCUUUUAAUAGAAUGCAAACACUACUCUGAAGAUCAAUACCCAAUUCUGUAAAUAGAUGUAGUAAUUCCUUUAUGAUAGUAAAUGGGACAGAAGAUAAUUGCUUGAAAGGAGAGAGUGGCUAUGCAAGUAUGAGACCAGAGAGGUUGGGAGGGUUGAGGAAGCAGGACUGACAGAGCUAAGUUAAAUUCUCCAUGAAAGCCGGGGAUUUAGACAAGGUUAUAUUCUCUCCAAAUUGUACUUUGUCUUAUGUUUUACUCUAUUCAAUUCAGUAAUGAUAUGCAUUUCUUUA
rnacentral:lncRNA from 1 species